UCGACCCAAACCCAGACACUAUCAGGCUAUCAUCUCUCCCUUCGUCUCUCUUCUCUCUCACCCUUCUUCUCUUAAUCCUUGUUCAAACUAAUCCAAUCAUCCAAGGUGGGUGAAUACCUCUGUCUCAUCUCCCCCAAACUAAAUUAGGGUUUCUUUCCGACCUGAGGAUGAACAAACAUGAUGUGAAUCAAUAAAAUAUGAUUUUGCUUUUGGGUGUAAAGUAAUAAGGUAGCACAGGAAGGGCGAGUCUAUCACCACGGUUGCUUACUGGGAUUCGGCCGGAAUGGGCAUACCCUUGCCACGACGUUAAGUUCCUCGAUUUCGAGGGUUUCUCUAGUUUCCAAUAUUGCCCUCUUCAGCAGCAAGAGCAUUGCCUACUUGGUCAGAUGGGGAUAUGUCUCCAAUCCAAGAAUGGAAAGAUGAGAGACAAAGGAAUUAUAGGAAGAAUGUCAAUAAAUGCUUGCUGCAUUCCUAACAACUCUAAGGAAUUCAAAAAUAUCUUUGAUGAUGUGAAACUUGACAACAUACUCAAUGAGAAGAUGGCUUUAGUUCAACAAUUCAUUCGACCAGCUUUACUUCAACCCUUUGCUGAAAGCAUGGAUAAAUGAAUGGCUUCAGUGGUGUGAUAUUAUGUGUUACAAAUUUCAUUUUAU